GGUGUUCUUCUUUGGGUUUUGAAGUCGACAUGAUAAAGACCGAAUCUUACAGUAUAGCCAUGAGCCCAUUCAAAGUUAUCUAGGAGAGACCAUACAAAGUAUCCUCUUACAUCGGCCCGCCACCGCCGCCGCCGCUUCGCCGGAGUCGACAGACGACAACUCCAGCUGGAUACAAGAAUCAAUCAACGGCGGGUCCCUCCGCCACGUCGACCUCCACACCGGAUCCAAUGGCUGGGCCUCGCCCCCCGGCGACCUCUUCGCCGUCCGCGGCCGCACCUACUUCUCUCGCCGCCAGAAGUCCCCCUCCGGCGACUGGCUCCUCAAGCCCGCAGGCGUCGACUGGCUCCGCUCCCCCGCUCGCCUCGACAACGUACUCGCCCGUCCGGACAACCGCGUCGCCGCCGCCCUCCGCCGCGCCCACUCCCUCGGCCGCUCUCUCAAAUCCUUCAUCAUCGCCGUCAAUCUCCAAGUCCCCGGCCGCGAGUGCCACUCCGCCGUCUUCUACUUUGCCACCG
rnacentral:misc_RNA from 1 species